rnacentral:rRNA from 1 species
UACGUAGGGUGCAAGCGUUAAUCGGAAUUACUGGGCGUAAAGCGUGCGCAGGCGGUUUUGUAAGUUUGUCGUGAAAUCCCCGGGCUCAACCUGGGAAUGGCGAUGAAGACUGCAAGGCUAGAAUCUGGCAGAGGGGGGGUAGAAUUCCACGUGUAGCAGUGAAAUGCGUAGAGAUGUGGAGGAACACCGAUGGCGAAGGCAGCCCCCUGGGUCAAGAUUGACGCUCAUGCA